rnacentral:rRNA from 1 species
CACGUAGGCACCAAGCGUUGUCCGGAAUUAUUGGGCGUAAAGAGCUCGUAGGCGGUUUGUCGCGUCGGGAGUGAAAACUCGGGGCUUAACUCCGAGCCUGCUUCCGAUACGGGCAGACUAGAGGUAUGCAGGGGAGAACGGAAUUCCUGGUGUAGCGGUGAAAUGCGCAGAUAUCAGGAGGAACACCGGUGGCGAAGGCGGGUCUCUGGGCCGAUAUUGACGCUGAGGAGCGAAAGCGUGGGGAGCAAACAGG